UGAGCAAUCUGCCCUUCUCUUCGGAAUAAGCGUUGGAAACGACGUCUAAUGCCGAAUACGACCUCCUUUCGCAUGAUCGGAGGUGGAAAGCUCCGGCGGAGAAGGAUGAGCUCGCGGCCUAUCAGCUAGUUGGUGUGGGUAAUGGCCCACCAAGGCAACGAUGCGUAGCCGACCUGAGAGGGUGAUCGGCCACAUUGGAACUGAGACACGGUCCAGACCUCUACGGGAGG
rnacentral:rRNA from 1 species